AUGCAUCAGAGACCUGGGCAGGGGCUGGAAUUCAUCGCCAGCAUCUACUACGGCAGUGGGGGUUACACCUUCUACGCGCCGUCGCUGGCGGCCAUGACCCUGCUGGAGUGCGGGGGGGGGGACCUCCAGCCUCCCGGGGGAUCCCUGCGCCUCCUCUGCCGAGGGUCCGGGUUCUGUUUCGGGAGCUACGACAUGUUCUGGGUGCGCCAGAGACCCAGGCAGGGGCUGGAGUGGCUCGCGAUGAUCAGGAACGAUGGUGGCAACUCCGGCUACGCGGAUUCAGUCAAGGGCCGGGUCACGAUCUCCAGGGACAACGGGCAGAGCUCGGUGACGCUGACCAUGAACAACCUCAAGGAAGAGGAUUCCGGAUCCUAUUUUUGUGCCAAAUGUUACAGCAGUGGUUGUGGUCCUAAUAUUGAUGCUGGUUAUGAUGACGAUGCCAGUGGAACUGUUGCCAAAACCAUCAGCAGUGUUACCAGCAUCACCAUCGAAACGUCUGGCACAGAAAUAAACAGCGGAAUCCUCAUCCUUGGUGUUGUCCAUGGCUAG